ACGGAGGGUCCAAGCGUUAUCCGGAAUCAUUGGGUUUAAAGGGUCCGCAGGCGGUCAAUUAAGUCAGAGGUGAAAGCCCAUCGCUCAACGAUGGAACUGCCUUUGAUACUGGUUGACUUGAGUUAUACGGAAGUAGAUAGAAUAAGUAGUGUAGCGGUGAAAUGCAUAGAUAUUACUUAGAAUACCGAUUGCGAAGGCAGUCUACUACGUAUAUACUGACGCUGAGGGACGAAAGCGUGGGGAGCGAACAGG
rnacentral:rRNA from 1 species